rnacentral:rRNA from 1 species
AUUGAACGCUGGCGGCAGGCCUAACACAUGCAAGUCGAGCGGAGCGGCGGACGGGUGGGUAAUGCCUAGGAAUCUGCCUGGUCGUGGGGGAUAACGUAAGGAAACGGGCGCUAAUACAGCAUCCUAUCAGAUGAGCCUAGGUCGGAUUAGCUAGUUGGUGAGGUAAAGGCCUACCAAGGCGACGAUCCGUAACUGGUCUGAGAGGCUGAUCAGUCACACUGGAACUGAGACACGGUCCAGACUCCUACGGGAGGCAGCAGUGGGGAAUAUUGGACAAUGGGCGAAAGCCUGAUCCAGCCAUGCCGCGUGUGUGAAGAAGGUCUUCGGAUUGUAAAGCACUUUAAGUUGGGAGGCGUUACCAACAGAAUAAGCACCGGCUAACUUCGUGCCAGCAGCCGCGGUAAUUC